rnacentral:misc_RNA from 1 species
CCUAGAGUUGUAGGCUUUGCCUGCUAUCUCUUACCCAUGUCUUUUGAGUACCUUCGUUUCCUCGGCGGGUCCGCCCGCCGAUUGGACAAUUUAAACCAUUUGCAGUUGCAAUCAGCGUCUGAAAUAACUUAAUAGUUA